UACGUAGGAGACGAGCGUUGUCCGGAGUUACUGGGCGUAAAGGGUGCGCAGGUGGCGGCGCGCGUGGGGGGUGAAAUCGCCCGGCUUAACUGGGCGGGGGCCUUCCAGACGGCGUGGCUUGAGCAGCGGAGGGGGACGUGGAAUUCCGGGUGGAGCGGUGAAAUGCGCAGAUAUCGGGAAGAACACCGGUGGCGAAGGCGGGUCUCUGGGCAGUAACUGACGCUGAGGAGCGAAAGCGUGGGGAGCAAACAGG
rnacentral:rRNA from 1 species